CUCCUCUUAGUUUAUUUCUGAUCAAGCACCGCAUUCCCAAUUUACAAAGAUUUAGAGAACAGUCAGAGGUUAUUUUUCUCACUUAAAAUAUCUGGAGGCAGGCACUGUUGGCAUUGGACCAAUGGCUCAGCCAUAUCGGGGCCCAGCAGCCUUCCUUCUUGUUACGGCAUGGCUGAGAGAGGGCUCUUUCUACUCUGGACGUUACACCUCCAUGAAGAGGGCAGGAAUAAGAGGGAAAAGCAGCACUGCUCUCUACGUCUGCCUUCCUGACUUUCAGCAGGAACGCAAAUGCUUCCCUAGAACUUUCUCCAUACCACGUUCCGCCACCUAGAACUUAUGGGGCCCCUUCUCCCUUGGCACUAAAGGGAGCCACGAAGAAGCAAAGAUGGAGAAGAGGAGGUCAGACAAUCUCCCCACGCAGAUGAGGCAGCGAUGGGACAGAUGUCAGGUGUGCUCUGAAAGAAGGUCUAUUUGUUUUUUGUUUAUUUGGUAAAGGCCUGGUGUUACGUCGCUUUCGCCUGUGCAAGAUACUCCCCAGUCUCCCACUAAAUCCACCCUCUGUCCUCUCCCCCUGCUCUCUGCCCUGGGAGUCUGACCACCACGGGGGCUCUGAGGGGUAGGGAGAGGGAAGCCAGCAGGAUUCCUGCGAGCAGCAAGAGAUGUCUGCCCUAGUUCCCUCCACACCACACCAGGGCUCCCAUCCCUGCUUUCCUUGGCUCCAGUUUCCGCCAGACAGCCCUGUCCUACAGCUGGCUUGCUUUUGGUUUCCAUAAUUAUUCGCUCCCCUUGCCUCGCAGGCCUCGGGAUGGUGGUGGCCCACCCUGCCCGUCCCCGCCCCUCUGUCUGGCCUGGGGGUCCGGAGCAUCCUGUGUCUGCUGCCCUAACCAGUGCUGCGCCCUUGUUAACAGCCCCUUCCCUCAACCCUCAGUCCUCCCUUUGGAGGGAGUCAUCUGUCUCCUGCCUGAGAGAGUAAUCAAUACUGUAACAUCCCCUUAUUCAUGUUAUUAAUGAUGACACCACAUCCCAUUCGGAAUGACACGAGAACUCCCGCUGCAUGUAGGCGUGGAAACCAGAGCAGCCUAUCGCCCGGCUGCUCAGGAGUAAGGGCUUCCAAGGCCAGGAACUGAACAAAAAUGCCUUUGAGGUUCCCUUUCCUCCCACUGACUUCUUCGCAGCCAGUGAACGGGUGGAAAAUGCAUCCUCCGAGGAAUCUGUCUUCACUUUAAAACAUUCACUAUCAAUUUUUUUCAUGCAGGAACACAAGCUUGUCAGAUGGGCUUGUGCACAGAAGAAGGAAAACAAGAGAUUUCGCAUGAAGCGGCAGUCACGAGAGGCAGCAGAGACUGGAGGAAGGACCUCACUCUCCUGACGCCCUUCAUUGCUAAGGGGCCAAUAAACUCCUAGGAUGUGUGUGCACAGAGGGACGGGCUCUUCUUCCAACUCCUCAGGAGCGGCAGGGUAUUCCUUUGGAAGCCCAUGCUUUCCAAAAUUUCCUCAAGUCGUCACAACAUUCCUCGCUCCUCUUGCCUGCAAAUUAGUUGACCCCUAAAACUAGCUGACCAUCUCUAGGUGGGGUUUUGUCCAGGACCUCACGCCCGUUCUGAAUCUGCUAGUGGGUUUGUCUCUACAAUUUGAUUUCUUUCUUCCCCAUUCUUUUAACAGUCUCCUGGGGGGAAAGGAGGGUUGAUCCUCGUAUUCGGGAUGUGAAUAUGCUAGAAACAGGGGAGACCAGGGACACGGAUGCAUUUGCAUAACACUGACUUUUUUCCUGCAGACACCACUGCCUCCAGCUAGUCGUUAGAUCUGGAUUUUAUGUUUUCUCCCCCCCCCAUGCUUUUUACAUUAUUGUUAAUGCCUACAUUUAAAAGUAAAAAAUAAGAAGGACAUAUCUGGAACUCCCAUUGCCUCAUCCUCUGGCUACUAGGCACCAGCCCCACCCCAUGUGCUAUUUGCUCCCCUUUCCCCAAAGUUUUAAACUUUAAUGUAAAACUCUGUGUUUUUGUGAUUACCCUAGAUAUAGCAGUGUAUAGUGUGGGGUUUUUUUUUGAGGGGGGAGGAUAGGAAUAAAAUAAUGCAUGGAGAAUCAUACAAAUGCUAUAAGGAGAAUUUUAAAAACAUAAUUAAUAUAAAAUAUUUUCAUAGGUUUCUCUGUCAAUGAAUAAAUAAAUUAUAUUUCCUUAAGGCAUUUAUUAGUAUGCUAAUGAAAAUUUCAGGAUACAGUACCGACAGUCAUAAUAAUGGAAUACAUGAGGCCAAUUAUACUGUUGCAUUCUUGCAUUAUCUUAGAUUUAAUUUAAAUGACUCACAGCCACAAAAGUAGAAAAAUUAAUGCACUGGUAUGAUAAAGUGCAGUUUUUUUAAAGCACAAAGGACUUUAUUAAGGAAGUGUGAAUAUUAUUUAUGAAUAGAGCAGGGUUA
rnacentral:lncRNA from 1 species